AUUCAGCUGACGAGUCCCAAACAGGAUAAAAGGCGCGUCCUGGAU
rnacentral:hammerhead_ribozyme from 1 species